GCAGAUAUAGUUUAAACAAAACGUUAGGCCGUGACUCUAAAAAUAAGAGAUAAAACCUCUUUAUCUGCC